CAGCGCCACGAGUGGCAUUCGUUUAUUUGGCUUAAAGCGUUCGUAGCUGGUUUUGUAAAUCAUUUGUGAAAUCGACAAGCUUAACUUGUCGGCGUGCAGAUGACACUGCAAGACUAGGGACCGGGAGGAGUCAGAGGUAUUUCUGGGGGAGCGGUAAGAUGCAGUAAUCCCAGAAGGACCACCUGUGGCGAAGGCGUCUGACUAGAACGGAUCCGACAGUGAGGAACGAAAGCCAGGGGAGCAAACCGGAUUAGAUACCCGAGUAGUCC
rnacentral:rRNA from 1 species